rnacentral:rRNA from 1 species
UGUAGUCUGCAACCCGACUACAUGAAGUUGGAAUCGCUAGUAAUCGCGGAUCAGAAUGCCGCGGUGAAUACGUUCCCGGGCCUUGUACACACCGCCCGUCACACCAUGAGAGUCGGGAACACCCGAAGUCCGUAGCCUAACCGCAAGGGGGGCGCGGCCGAAGGUGGGUUCGAUAAUUGGGGUGAAGUCGUAACAAGGUAAC